AGGACGAACGCUGGCGGCGCGCUUAACACAUGCAAGUCGAACGGGGUCCUUCGGGGCUCAGUGGCGAACGGGUGCGUAACACGUGAGUGACCUGCCCUAGUACGGGGGAUAACCCGGGGAAACCCGGGCUAAUACCGCAUGCGCUCUUUGGGCUUCCGGGCCUGGGGAGGAAAGAUGCUUUCGGGCAUCGUGCAAGGAGGGGCUCGCGGCGUAUCAGGUAGUUGGUAGGGUAACGGCCUACCAAGCCGAUGACGCGUAGGGGGUCUGAGAGGAUGGCCCCCCACGAUUGGGACUGAGAUACGGCCCAGACUCCACGGGAGCAGCAGUGGGGAAUCUUGCGCAAUGGCCGAAAGGCUGACGCAGCGACGCCGCGUGCGGGAUGACGCUUUUCGGAGUGUAAACCGCUGGUCGGGUGGGACGAAAGGUCCGGGGAGGAAAUGCUCUCGGGAUGGACGUACCACCAAAGGAAGCACCGGCUAACUCGUGCCAGCAGCCGAC
rnacentral:rRNA from 1 species